rnacentral:rRNA from 1 species
GACGAACGCUGGCGGCGUGCCUAACACAUGCAAGUCGAACGAGGUCCAAGGAAGCUUGCUUCCUGACGACCUAGUGGCGAACGGGUGAGUAACACGUAAGAAACCUGCCUCGGAGUGGGGAAUAACUCGGGGAAACUCGAGCUAAUACCGCAUAUCUUCACAUGAUCGCAUGGUCGAGUGAAGAAAGAAUUUCGCUCUGAGAGGGUCUCGCGGCCUAUCAGCUUGUUGGUAGGGUAACGGCCCACCAAGGCAACGACGGGUAGCUGGUUUGAGAGGACGAUCAGCCACACUGGGACUGAGACACGGCCCAGACUCCUACGGGAGGCAGCAGUGGGGAAUCUUGCGCAAUGGGCGAAAGCCUGACGCAGCAACGCCGCGUGCGGGAUGACGGCCUUCGUGGUUGUAAACCGCUUUCAGCAGGGACGAAAAUGACGGUACCUGCAGAAGAAGCCCCGGCUAACUACGUGCCAGCAGCCGCCGUAA